GUCACAAAAGCGUGUUUUUCUCAGACUGCAGUGUCGGUGCUUCAUCUAAAAUUGUCCCUGGAUCGAAAUACUGGUCUUCUGUAGUUCCACAACACGCAUGUAUCACGCUGCUUUUCCAAACUUUACUGACAUGAGUGCUGAUAAUUCAGUUGGAAAUGUGUCUGUGCCUUUGCGAAAUCUACUGAACUCCAUCCAGUGUAUGAAAGACCGAGUCAGAGAUGGAGAAUCCAAUGAGUCCGAUGGAGCCUUUGACCUCUCCAACUUCUGGGACACUUUGAACCAGGCGGUGAAGGCGGUGUCGCAGGAAGCCACUAAACUCAGCGUGGCAUUCUCCAAACCCCCGCUGCCAUCACAACAGGAUGGAGAGAAAUUAUCCGAGUCGAUCCUGAAGAGUGUCCUCUCUCUGUCCACAGUAUAUUACUGGCUGCCCAAGAGCCAAGGUGUGAGUCUGCGACGACAGGUGAGAGACGCCACAGUCGAGGUGUUGGAGGGAGUCAUACAGCUGGUGGAGGUCAUACUGAGCUCACCAUUACAGAGUCUGUCUCAGGAACAGUUGACUUCAACCGGAGGCGUCUGGUCCGCCUGCGACAGCUUUACCCAGCUGCCCCGAGAUAAUAAGGCAGCUCUGUUGGUGGUUCUGUCUGCUCAGAUUGGAGUUGUUAAAGAUGCCAUAGAGGAAAUUGAACAGGCGUUAUCAGAGGUUCAGGACCCGUUCAGUGACGUCCUGGACGAUGAUCAGGACCCUCGAGGAAACCAGGACACCUAUUGGUCCGAGAAGGACCGCCGUGUGAUUGGUCCGUGUCAGGGCCUCAUGAAGGCGUCCGCGGCGUGCCUGAGGAAACUGACGUCUGCCGCCAAAACCCUCGGGGAUGUCUCCACGCCUCAAAACGUGGCUCAACUCGACGACCUGGCAGACAUCAUCAAGGAAAUCAGUCCUGGUGUUGACGAUCUGGCUCUCUGUCUCUACCGCCCAUGGACUACAGUGGAGUAGAGGAAAAUGUUUCUAAAUUGGCAGCACUUUUAAAGAAAGUUCUUGAGAUCAUCAGGUGCAGUCACGUGUGCGGGGAAUCUCAGCUGACCUGGGUUCAGUUCUUAAAGGGAGCCGUGGAUCACAACCUGCAAAAAACCAAAGAACUCCUUCAGCAGGACAGCUAGAGUGUGUGUGUGUGUGUGUGUGUGUGUGUGUGUGUGUGUGUGUGUGUGUGUGUGUGUGUGUGUGUGUGUGUGUGUGUGUGUGUGUGUGUGUGUGUGUGUGUGUGUGUGUGUGUGUGUGUGUGUGUGUGUGUGUGUGUGUGUGUGUGUGUGUGUCUUUCUGUUUCUCUGCAAUUAAAAGAGUGCCUGAUGUGUGGUUUUAUGUGCCUGUGUGUGUGGAGUGAAUGGCUGCAGUGGUGUGUAUGUGUGUGUGAGGAAAUAUAAAAGGUAUUGAUCUCAAAAUGUGUGUGAAUGUGUUUACAAUGACGUGUGUACAACAUAUAAUAAUUAAAAGGGAGGAGUUGUGACCUGGCACAAACUAUUUUUGUGUCAAUCAGUAGUCAUGUUUUCAUAGGUAAUCUUGCUAAAUCGGGACACACACACACACACACACACACACACACACACACACACACACACACACAUUCACUUAUUGCCAGUAACUGUUGGUUUAUAGCUUGUUACCCAAUGGAAAUUAUCAGGGUUUAUUACAAAAAAAUCAUGUUAUUAUCUUUACAUUGUUGCCCCUAUAGAAGUGACACACUUUAGUUUGAACUUUGUCAAUCCUGCGUUACGAUUUAGAUUUAUUUCAUUUCAACUGGACAAAUAUGUCCAUUAUUAUUCCAAGAUUUCUUGAAAACUUUUGGUCCCACAUUUUCCUACAUUUUCUUUAAAAAAUCAUAUUUAUUUUGAAUGUUUACAUAUUUUUCAGAUCAUUUCUCUUAACUCAUUUCUUGUAAAAAUGUAUCACAUAUAAUUUGUUCUUAUUUAUUUGUCAUUGCAUUAUAACAAAACCAUUACAAAGACUUCACUAAGAAGGACCUUAAUGCUAAAACGUAUAAUUAAAUGAUAUGACUGUCAUUAGAAACCGAUAUUUAAUCAGGGAUUAAGGAAUCCAAAUGUCAAUCUGGCUGUGUCAGACAUGUUCAUAAUAAAGAGACAAUACGUCUGGCAUGACUGACA